UUAAGUUCAACCUCUCAUUUCUGUUCAUUUGAAGCAACUCUUUCCUCCCUUGUCAGGCUGUUGGUCUCCCAGAAGUCCGGAGUUUUUAAAAAAAUCUCAAGCCUCCAGCCCAUGAGUAGGUGUGCAAUCACAGUGAGGCUGCUGACAUGUUUUCUUGGGUGAUGGCCUUUCUGGAUAACCAAGGCCUGGGAUACCUUCUCAUGCAAAUUCCAGCAUUCCUAGGGGUGACUGGAGUACGUAUGUCCAGAACCAAUUUUCAGUGUCAGAAAGUGGACUAAGC
rnacentral:lncRNA from 13 species